rnacentral:rRNA from 1 species
AUGAAAACAUCUUCUCCAGGUUCAGAGUGUUUUGAAUCGAUCGUGCCGGUAUCAGAUAAUCAGAUGAAUCAUGAUACACUACCAUCACCUCCAUCCCCAUCUAGCUCGACAAUAUCUCAUCAUGAUGUUAAGGAACCAGAUUCACAUAAAGAGAUCAAAGUUGAUGAGACAUAUGAUUAUCUCCCACAAGACUAUACAUUGACCGACCAUGAUCUAUGUGCUCAUAUAGCAAUAGAAUCAUCUUUCAGAAAACAAUUGCUGGUUCAGAUAGAUGGAAGUUCUGUCUUGCAACAUCAAUUGAUGUGCCUGCUAGAUGAAAAAGAGUGGGUAAAUGAUGAUGUGAUCAAUGCAUAUAUAUGUUGUAUAAAGGACCAAAUACAUCUCCAGAAUGAUAAUAAAGUAUAUUUUGAGAGUCCAUUUGUUACCUCACUAUUUAAACGAGAUGGCACCAUUGGAAUACAAGAAGAUAGUGCCUUCAUGACAGAGACUGUCCUUGAAUAUAUGCAGCAUGACAUGAUUAAACUUCCAAUAAAUGCCAAUAACACACAUUGGUAUUUAGCUGUUGUGAAUACAAAAAAAUGUGAGGUUCAAGUACUAGACUCAUUGUGCUGGAAUUCUGACAGAGAUGAUCUCGCUAAUACGCUACGAGGAAUACAAUUUCAUUUGGACCUUCUUAAAAGUCAAAAGUUGGUAAGUGACGAUUGGAAAGACGUUGAUCUUACUGAAUGGAAGAUCACAGAACAAUUACAAAAGGCAAUUCAAAAAGAUAGCUCUUCAUGUGGUUUAUUUAUGGUUAAAUUUAUGGAAUUUUUUACCGGAUGUGCACUAUCCUACCCAAUUACACAGGAAAUGAUUACUUCUUUUAGAUUUAAGUUAGCCAGCAUACUAUUAUGUUGGAAAACAAACACGGCAGCAGGGGAUCCUGAUGAUGUUCAAAUAUUGGAAAGUUUAGAUGAUAAAAAAACAAAAACAAAAAACCCGUUAUCUGUUGAAAACAAAUACAGAUCACUAAUAUCAAUUCUUUCUAAUAUGACCUUACAUGAGUUAACAGCUGGACUUUGUAGUUUCAUUAAAUCAAUCAAUUACACCGAGAUUUUAGAGAAAGUAUGGAUUCAGAGUUCAAAACCAUAUCCAAUAAGCUUGUCUCUUAGAAAACUACAAGGAAUGCUAAAGGAUGAUUUACCCAUGGACCGAGAUUGCUUUAACUUGAUCGUAUGA